rnacentral:lncRNA from 12 species
CCCUGAUACUGGAACCUCUAUUUCUUCUAAAGAAAAAGACAGAAUGAAUUUAAUUGCAAGAGCAAAAUGUUGCCUUUACUACUCCCUAGAGGACUCAGAUUAAAAAGGAAAGUUCUUACAAAUUCCAAUUCAUUUAAACUGCCUCAUAGAUUUGUCUCAGUGGUUUGUUUUAAUGUCCUACAAAAAUGUUGAGAAACCAAAAUAAAAUAAAGUUACCGAGAGAAGGAGAAGAGGAGGAUUUCUAGGGCCUCUCUAAGGAGCAAUGGAGAAAUAUUUAACUGCUGAAUCAAUUUUAAAGCAUUUUGAAAUCUUCAUAAUAGCUUGAUGAUAAGUGUUGAAUCACUCACAGUGACUUCCAUUUGCAGUAAAUCUUAUGAGAUAAAGUGAGAAGAUUAUAAAUGCAUUUUAAAGCCUGUGACGGAGGAUAGAAUAGUGCCCACUUAGUGAUACACAAGGUGCAAAAGCCAACCUGAGAAAAUAUUGUGCAUUCAGUUAAAAUACUAAUUUUGUUCCAGGCAGUGGGAUAUGUGCUUCAGGGGACACAAGCUAAUGAUGUUUUUCUUGUCCUCAAAGACCUCACAGUCGAGUGGCCAUAAUGGAAGUGGGGCCUGAAGGGGGCAGAGCGGGGAGUGAACAGUCAUCUGUUUGUCAAGAGACAAGCGGGCCUUUCCCUCAGCAGUGAGAAGACCCCGAGCGCUGCAACACCUUCCCGCGAAAUGUGCUCGUCUGGAAACUGAUAUCCACGAAGAGUUUCUACCUGGAAACAAAGUACGCAGCCUAAACCCAACCUGUGCUUGGCAAGGGAAACCACGCCCCGUGGUUGUGCCGACCGUCCAGGAGCAGAGGCCGAAAGGCCCAGCGAAUGAACCGGCCCGGGUCUCGCUGUGGCCGGAGUGUGUGAGUCCUCUCAACUUUUACAUGUUAAAAUCUUGACCCCUAAAUUGCUGGUAUUGGGGGCUGGAGCCUUUGAUCAGAUCACGAUGGGAAUCAUCAAGGCAGAUUCACGCUCUUAUUAAAGAAACUCCAGAGGGCUUGCUCGCUCAUUCACCCCGGGGGACAUAGUGAGCCAUCGGCCUCUGCGAUCCCGAAGAGGGCUCCCACCAGAAUCCAAGUGUGUUGGCUCCCGGAUCUUGCACUUUGAAGCUUCUAGAACUGUAGGAAAUAAAUAUUUGUUGUAUAUAAUCCGCCUAAUCUAU